GCCUUCGUGGUGUAGUGGUCGCACGCUCAACCUGUAACUGAGAGGUCCAUGGUUCGAUUCCCGAUGAAGGUU
rnacentral:tRNA from 1 species